rnacentral:rRNA from 1 species
UCCGUAGGGGGCGAGCGUUAUCCGGAAUUACUGGGCGUAAAGCGCACGCAGGCGGUUCGCCAAGUUUGGGGUGACAGUUGUCGGCUCAACCGACAAAGGACUUCAAAAACUGGUGAACUUGAGGACGAGAGAGGAACAUGGAACUCCAGGUGUAGUAGUGAAAUGCGUAGAUAUCUGGAAGAACACCAAUGGCGAAGGCAAUGUUCUGGCUCGUUUCUGACGCUCAGGUGCGAAAGCCAGGGGAGCGAACGGG